rnacentral:tRNA from 1 species
AGUCUGGUGGUGUAACAGUAGCACGGCGAUCUGAUACGUCGCUGGAGGCAGGUGCGAUUCCUCCCCGGACUA